GUAUGGUGUGAAGAGGCGAAGUCUACCUUCCGGGUCCCCAAGAGGCUCCAGGGAGGCAGAGCCGUGCCUACCCCCUGUCCUCCACCAGGGGGUGCUAAGGCUGAGGGCAGGGAGGGAGCACACCGUCCAGCAAAGGGCCCAGAGGCCGAGAGAAAAGCUCACAUGGUCAGGGGCGUCUGUGGGAAGGGAAAUCUGAUAUUUUGUCCUUGGGAUGGAUGUUCUGCUCAGACCCCGAGUCUGCUGAGCAGCCGCAGCCCCCUGGAAGGGGGAGGGACUGGGGAAGCCGGAGGCCAGUGCGCUGCCCCCAGGGGUUCUGAGCUGGGUCCCCUGAGGCACCUACCAGACACUGCUGGAUGGGGCCGGGGGAGGGCUUGGGGCGGGUGAGGCCGGAGGGCUGGUCAGAGGAAGAGGGAGCGGAGUGGACACCUGCUCCUCCCUCACCCUCAGGUGCUGCUCAGAUGUCACCUCCUCAGACAGACUUUCCCUGAGCACCCCCCACCCUCCACCCCUACCGCAUCCCCCGGUCUAAACUAGGCCUUCUUUGCAGCCUUUCUCUGCAGAAUUUUCUUCGUAGCACUUAAUGCUACCUGACAUUGCAUUUGGCUGAACCGUAUACAAUUGUCAAAUGCCAGCAAUUUCAUACAGUUCAACCUAAUACUACAUAUUCAGCGGUUCUUCAUCUGCCUCCGCCACUGGAAUGUAGCUCCACGCGGUUGGGAUUUUUAUCUGUGGCGUUUCUGCUACAUCCGCAGUGCCUAGAUGAGUCCCUGGCACAAAGCGGACCCUCAGUAAAUGUUGAAUGAAUAGGUGAAUGAAUCCUUGGGCUGGGAAUUUGGCAAAAGACUUGAUGAAGGAGUUCGAUUCGACUAGGGAGCUGCAUCUAGGGCAGGGACUGACCAGAGAGGGCUGGGGCUCGGGCGGGGCAGAGCGGGUACCCAGGGCCAGGACAGAUGGGGCUGUAGUGUGGGAGAAGCUGUCACGUUCCUGAGACAAGAUGGGUGGCCAGGAUGGGGAACAUAGGCAGCCAGCCUCAUAAUCAUGUGGGCUUUUGUCUCAAUUUUUAGGAGGCCGGUCAUCAUUCCCAAAACCAUGUCCCUGCCCUCCAGAGGCUCACAGCCUCGCCAGGAAGACAACGCCACAAUGACAGCCACUCCUCAGGCACUUGCCAGGCGCCAGGCAGUCUAGCUGGUGGUUAAAUGUGCAGACUCUGGAGCAGGACAGCAGGUUCAAAGACCACAUCCACCACCUUCUUGGUCAUAUGUGACUUUGGGUAAAUCACCUAACACCUCUGGGCCUCAGUUUCUCCAUCUGUACGAGGGGAAUCGCAGUAUCCAGACAGAGGAAAACAGCCCUGGCAUCUGGGAGCUGCCCGGUCCUAUCAGCCAGGCCUCGGUGUUGCUCGGGCUGGCCUGGCACAGCUGGUCCUGGUGCUCCUGCUGAACACAGAAAAGCCAUCUGUGACCGUGACGGAUGGAGACAAAAACAGGACCACUCGGGCAGAAACCAAUGCAACAGCAUUGGGCCAGUGUCUGGGACGAGCAGAGCAGAGGGACCUUGGAGCUCAAAGAGAAGAGAGGCCCCAGGCUGCAGAGGGCAAGCCCCCAGGAUGUGCUCAGCGACCUUCUCUCUUCCUCUCCCAUUGGUGAUGCCCUCACUGGAUCCAAGGCCGCCUGGCUGCUGAGUAAACACAGGCCCAGCUGAGGCCCGAGGUGGGGGUCAGUGUCGGCAGAGUCUGAGGCCUGAGUCACUUCCUGAUCAUUGCUUAAGAGGCGUCCGGAGCCACAGCCUGAGUGGCCAGCUCGUGCCCUUGCAGGAUUGCAGCCACUUGGGCAAUGAGCACUUCCGUGGUAUUCCUCACCUUUCCAGGCUCAGCUCUGCCAGCUCAGGUUUCUGAGACCCACAACAGAGAGGCUGAAGCCCUGCUCCCACCUGGAGAACUGGAUCCUCAACCCAGAAGGAAACCUAAGUCUCCUGGACAACCCUCUUGCCUGUGCCCAGCCUUAGGUGCUGGCUUCCUGGACCCACCCCAACCUCAGAAUCAGGGUGCCUUCCACUGGCACCACCAACCCCAAAGUUCUGAAACUCCUGCAGCCCUCCCCGGCACGGAGCCCCUGCCCUGUCCCCCCACAGGGUCUCAGGGCUGAAGGAGGGCUGGGGCAGAGAAGAGGGUGGGGAAUAUGUCAGAGAGCUCAGGGCAGGAUGUACUGAGGGAGACACGGCUUGAUCAGUGGACAUGUCCUCACGAUGUGGGCGAGGCUGACGAUGUGAAAUGCAGGCCACCUCCUUUAAGGAGACCCAGAGACACUGCAUAGCCUUGUGGCCGAGAGCAUGGACUCUAGAACCAGGCUACCAGCUUCCCCAUCUCAGCUCUGCCCUUUACCAGCUGUGCUACCUUCGGCAAGUUACUUCACCUCUCUGUACCUCAGGUUCCUCAUCUCUAAAAUGAGAAUAAUAAUAGUACUGACUCAUAGGCCUCUCACCAGGAUUAAGGGAGUUGUGUAUGUAAAACACUUAGAAUAAUGACUGGCGCAUGGCAAACACAGUGUUCAUUAAAUAAAUAUUUUUUC
ensembl:lncRNA